rnacentral:rRNA from 1 species
GACGAACGCUGGCGGCGUGCUUAACACAUGCAAGUCGAGCGGUAAGGCCCUUUCGGGGGUACGACGAGCGGCGAACGGGUAGGAGUAACACGUGGGUGGACCUCGCCCUUACGCUCUGGGGAGUAAGCCUGGGAAACGUAGGGUCGUAAUACCGGAUAUGACUCCAUGACGCAUGUUGUGGGGUGGGAAAGCCUUGUGCGGCUAGGGAGUGGGCCCGGCGGCCUAUCAGCUUGUUGGUGGGGUGAUGGCCUACCAAGGCGACGACGGGUAGCCGGCCUGAGAGGGCGACCGGCCACACUGGGAC